rnacentral:rRNA from 1 species
UGGGGAAUAUUGGACAAUGGGCGAAAGCCUGAUCCAGCCAUGCCGCGUGAGUGAAGAAGGCCUUCGGGUUGUAAAGCUCUUUUAGUCGGAAAGAAAGAGUUGCAAUGAAUAAUUGUGAUUUAUGACGGUACCGACAGAAAAAGCACCGGCUAACUACGUGCCAGCAGCCGCGGUAAUACGUAGGGUGCGAGCGUUAAUCGGAAUUACUGGGCGUAAAGGGUGCGCAGGCGGUCUUGCAAGUCAGAUGUGAAAGCCCCGGGCUUAACCGGGGAAUUGCGUUUGAAACUACAAGGCUAGAGUGCAGCAGAGGGGAGUGGAAUUCCAUGUGUAGCAGUGAAAUGCGUAGAGAUGUGGAAGAACACCGAUGGCGAAGGCAGCUCCCUGGGUUGACACUGACGCUCAUGCACGAAAGCGUGGGGAGCAAACA